GCCAGACUCCUACGGGAGGCAGCAGUGGGGAAUAUUGCACAAUGGGGGAAACCCUGAUGCAGCAACGCCGCGUGAGUGAAGAAGUCAUUCGUGAUGUAAAGCUCUAUCAGCAGGGAAGAAAAUGACGGUACCUGAAGAAGAAGCCCCGGCUAACUACGUGCCAGCAGCCGCGGUAAUACGUAGGGGGCAAGCGUUAUCCGGAUUUACUGGGUGUAAAGGGAGCGUAGGCGGGGAUGCAAGUUGGGUGUCAAAACUACCGGCUCAACUGGUAGUCGCACUCAAAACUGCAGCUCUUGAGUGAAGUAGAGGCAGGCGGAAUUCCUAGUGUAGCGGUGAAAUGCGUAGAUAUCAGGAGGAACACCGGCGGCGAAGGCGGCCUGCUGGACCGCGACUGACGUUGAGGCUCGAAAGCGUGGGGAGCGAGCAGGAUUAGAUACCCCCGUAC
rnacentral:rRNA from 1 species